rnacentral:rRNA from 1 species
AUUGAACGCUGGCGGCAGGCCUAACACAUGCAAGUCGAGCGAGCGGCGGACGGGUGAGUAAUGUAUGGGGACUGCCCGAUGGAGGGGGAUAACUACUGGAAACGGUGGCUAAUACCGCAUCCUGUCGGAUAGCCAAUAUGGGAUUAGCUAGUAGGUAGGGUAAGGGCUUACCUAGGCGACUAUCCCUAGCUGGUCUGAGAGGAUGAUCAGCAAAACUGGAACUGGGACACGGCCCAGACUCCUACGGAGGCAGCAGUGGGGAAUAUUGCACAAUGGGCGCAAGCCUGAUGCAGCCAUGCCGCGUGUAUGAAGAAGGCCUUAGGGUUGUAAAGUACUUUCAGUCGGGAGGCGUUACCGACAGAAGAAGCACCGGCUAACUCCGUGCCAGCAGCCGCGGUAAUUC